ACAAGGAUGAAAACAUCUAUGCAGACAUGACCAGCCUAACGACCUAGUGAACUAUGUUGACAUAACCAGCCUAAUGAACUAGUGAACUAAGUUGACAAAACCACCCUAAUGAA